UUUAGGUCAAUAAAGACCCAUCAACUGAGUCAAUAAUUUUUGUCCAUGUCAAAAGUCUACCCAGGGCCAUGUCAACAUGGAUAGACAUCCCAUUGGAUAUAUUUGAAAUAAUAUUAAAAAACUAUGAACAAAUCAAUAAAAAUAAAAGCUCAAGAUAUAACGGAAAAAGCGUCCGGAGUUUAUGAUUUCCCAAACCUUCAUUUUUAGAAUUGUGAUGUGUCAAGAACUAAAUUAAAUCCAAG
rnacentral:misc_RNA from 1 species